GAUGAACGCUGGCGGUGUGCUUAAUACAUGCAAGUCGAGCGAACAGACGAGGAGCUUACUCCUCUGUCGUUAGCGGCGGACGGGUGAGUAACACGUGUAUCACCUACCUAUAAGACUGGUAUAACUUCGGGAAACCGGAUCUAAUACCGGAUAACAUCCUGAACCGCAUGGUUCAACAGUGAGAUACGGUCUUGCUGUCACUUAUAGCUGGAUCUGCGUCGCAUUAGCUAGUUGGUACGGUAACGGCUUACGACGGCAACGAUGCGUAGCCGACCUGAGAGGGGGAUCGGCCACCUGGGAAGGGGGACGGGGACCAGAGUCCUAAGGGAGGGAGCAGUAGGCAAUCUGACGCAAUGGGGGAGAACCUUACGGAACAGCGCGGCGUGAGUGAAAGAAGUCUCCGGAGCGUGAAACUCGGUUAUGAGGGAAGAACAGAUUUGGAAGGAACUGUGCAGUGAUUGACGGUAACGGGUAAGGAAGCAACGGCUAACUACGUG
rnacentral:rRNA from 1 species